GGGGGAGCGCGGCUACCUGCAGUCGGACGAGCUGUUUUGGUUUCGGCCAGGCAGUUAGUGGCAGACGGGUGAGUAACGCGUGGAUAAUCUACCUUCGUGUGGGGGAUACCAUUCCGAAAGGGGUGUUAAUACCGCAUAACACGGUUUUGGCUCUGGCCGAGAUCGUCAAAGCUGGGGAUUCGGGAAACCGGACCUGGUGCAUGAAGAGGAGUUCGCGUCAGAUUAGCUGGUUGGUGGGGUAACGGCCUACCAAGGCGUCGAUCUGUAGCCGGCCUGAGAGGGUGAUCGGCCACACUGGAACUGAGACACGGUCCAGACUCCUACGGGAGGCAGCAGUGGGGAAUUUUGCGCAAUGGGGGAAACCCUGACGCAGCAACGCCGCGUGGGUGAAGAAGCAUCUUGGUGUGUAAAGCCCUGUCAUCGAGGACUAAGAUUGCACGAUUAAGAGUUGUGUAGUUUGAAGGUACUCGAGGAGGAAGCCCCGGCUAACUCCGUGCCAGCAGCCGCGGUAAUACGGAGGGGGCGAGCGUUAUUCGGAAUUACUGGGCGUAAAGGGCGCGUAGGCGGCCUGGUCAGUGGGAAGUGAAAGCCCUCAGCUCAACUGAGGAAUAGCUUCCCAUACUGCCAGGCUAGAGUAUGGGAGAGGAGAGUGGAAUUCCCGGUGUAGCGGUGAAAUGCGUAGAGAUCGGGAGGAACACCAGUGGCGAAGGCGACUCUCUGGACCAUGACUGACGCUGAUGCGCGAAAGCGUGGGGAGCAAACAGGAUUAGAUACCCUGGUAGUCCACGCCCUAAACGAUGGAUACUUUGUGUCGCGGGUAUCGACCCCUGCGAUGCAGGAGCUAACGCAU
rnacentral:rRNA from 1 species